rnacentral:rRNA from 1 species
AUGCCUGACGGAGCACUCCCUGAAGAAGAAGAACUCGACAUGGCUAUUCUACUGGCGUUUCUGCUGCUGAUGUCUUAUGGAACUGGCAACAUCCAUGGCUCAACAACGGUUAACCAUGGGAACAACACAGACAUGCUCUCCUUGCUCGUCUUCAAAGCGGCUACCAACGACCCAACAGGCGUCCUGCGAUCAUGGAACAGAAGCGUCCGCCACUGCGACUGGACGGGUGUCAUUUGCAGCUCACCGAAUUCAGGGCGCGUCGUUGCCCUGAGAAUGCCCGGCCAAAGCUUGUCAGGCGACGCCCCCAAGCUUCCGACAGCUCGAUCUUCGAGAACAUGA